UUCCGGUUGAUCCUGCCGGACCUGACUGCUAUCGGAUUGAUACUAAGCCAUGCGAGUCAUUGUAGCAAUACAAGGCAGACGGCUCAGUAACGCGUAGUCAACCUACCCUAUGGACGGGGAUAACCUCGGGAAACUGAGAAUAAUACCCGAUAGAACAUUAUACCUGGAAUGGUUUAUGUUUCAAAUAAUUUAUUGCCGUAGGAUGGGACUGCGGCCUAUCAGUUUGUUGGUGAGGUAAUGGCCCACCAAGACUAUUACAGGUACGGGCUCUGAGAGGAGUAGCCCGGAGAUGGGUACUGAGACACGGACCCAGGCCCUAUGGGGCGCAGCAGGCGAGAAAACUUUGCAAUGUGCGAAAGCACGACAAGGUUAAUCCGAGUGGUUUCUGCUAAAGGAACCUUUUGUUAGUCAUAGAACCACUAAUGAAUAAGGGUGGGCAAGUUCUGGUGUCAGCCGCCGCGGUAAAACCAGCACCUCAAGUGGUCAGGAUGAUUAUUGGGCCUAAAGCAUCCGUAGCCUGCUUUGUUAGUUUUCGGUUAAAUCCAUACGCUCAACGUAUGGGCUGCCGGGAAUACUGCAAAGCUAGGGAGUGGGAGAGGUAGACGGUACUCGGUAGGAAGGGGUAAAAUCCUUUGAUCUAUUGAUGACCACCUGUGGCGAAGGCGGUCUACCAGAACACGUCCGACGGUGAGGGAUGAAAGCUGGGGGAGCAAACCGGAUUAGAUACCCGGGUAGUCCCAGCUGUAAACUAUGCAAACUCGGUGAUGCAUUGGCUUGAUGCCAAUGCAGUGCCGCAGGGAAGCCGUUAAGUUUGCCGCCUGGGAAGUACGUACGCAAGUAUGAAACUUAAAGGAAUUGGCGGUGGAGCACCACAAGGGGUGAAGCCUGCGGUUCAAUUGGAUUCAACGCCGGG
rnacentral:rRNA from 1 species